rnacentral:rRNA from 1 species
GCUCAGGAUGAACGCUAGCGGCAGGCCUAAUACAUGCAAGUCGACGAGAUUAUCCAGCUUGCUGGAUUUGAAAGUGGCGCACGGGUGCGUAACGCGUAUGCAACCUACCUUAAUCUGGGGGAUAGCCCGGAGAAAUCCGGAUUAACACCGCAUAAAAACACAGGAUAGCAUUAUCCAAUGUUCAAAUAUUUAUAGGAUUGGGAUGGGCAUGCGUGUCAUUAGCUAGUUGGCGGGGUAACGGCCCACCAAGGCGACGAUGACUAGGGGAUCUGAGAGGAUGGCCCCCCACACUGGUACUGAGACACGGACCAGACUCCUACGGGAGGCAGCAGUAAGGAAUAUUGGUCAAUGGAGGCAACUCUGAACCAGCCAUGCCGCGUGCAGGAAGACUGCCCUAUGGGUUGUAAACUGCUUUUAUCCGGGAAUAAACCUCUUUACGUGUAGAGAGCUGAAUGUACCGGAAGAAUAAGGAUCGGCUAACUCCGUGCCA